rnacentral:rRNA from 1 species
CGGGACACGUGGUAUCCUGUCUGAAUAUGGGGGGACCAUCCUCCAAGGCUAAAUACUCCUGACUGACCGAUAGUGAACCAGUACCGUGAGGGAAAGGCGAAAAGAACCCCGGCGAGGGGAGUGAAAAAGAACCUGAAACCGUGUACGUACAAGCAGUGGGAGCACGCUUAGGCGUGUGACUGCGUACCUUUUGUAUAAUGGGUCAGCGACUUAUAUUCUGUAGCAAGGUUAACCGAAUAGGGGAGCCGAAGGGAAACCGAGUCUUAACUGGGCGUUAAGUUGCAGGGUAUAGACCCGAAACCCGGUGAUCUAGCCAUGGGCAGGUUGAAGGUUGGGUAACACUAACUGGAGGACCGAACCGACUAAUGUUGAAAAAUUAGCGGAUGACUUGUGGCUGGGGGUGAAAGGCCAAUCAAACCGGGAGAUAGCUGGUUCUCCCCGAAAGCUAUUUAGGUAGCGCCUCGUGAAUUCAUCUCCGGGGGUAGAGCACUGUUUCGGCAAGGGGGUCAUCCCGACUUACCAACCCGAUGCAAACUGCGAAUACCGGAGAAUGUUAUCACGGGAGACACACGGCGGGUGCUAACGUCCGUCGUGAAGAGGGAAACAACCCAGACCGCCAGCUAAGG